UGAAACUGCCCAGUGCACAGGCUCAAGGCC
rnacentral:piRNA from 1 species